UGGGGAAUUUUGGACAAUGGGGGAAACCCUGAUCCAGCCAUCCCGCGUGUGCGAUGAAGGCCUUCGGGUUGUAAAGCAUUUUUGGCAGGAAAGAAACGUCAUGGGUUAAUACCCCGUGAAACUGACGGUACCUGCAGAAUAAGCACCGGCUAACUACGUGCCAGCAGCCGCGGUAAUACGUAGGGUGCAAGCGUUAAUCGGAAUUACUGGGCGUAAAGCGUGCGCAGGCGGUUCGGAAAGAAAGAUGUGAAAUCCCAGAGCUCAACUUUGGAACUGCAUUUUUAACUACCGGGCUAGAGUGUGUCAGAGGGAGGUGGAAUUCCGCGUGUAGCAGUGAAAUGCGUAGAUAUGCGGAGGAACACCGAUGGCGAAGGCAGCCUCCUGGGAUAACACUGACGCUCAUGCACGAAAGCGUGGGGAGCAAACAGG
rnacentral:rRNA from 1 species